rnacentral:lncRNA from 1 species
AUGAUGACAUGGCAGCCUGCAUGAAGUCUUGUAACUGAGUAAGGAGCUGAAUUGUCCAAUGAGGAGAGGAACCUUCUCUGAGCUGCUUAUAAAAAUGUUGUAGAAGCCCGUAGAUUAUCUUGGAGGAUCUUCUCAAGUAUUGAACAAAAGACGGAAGGUGCUGAGAAUAAAAACAGUAGAUAGUAUGAGAAUACAAAGAGAAAAUUGAGAUGAAGCUAGGAGAUAUCUUGCAAUGAUUUACUCCUUUUUUGGAAAAGUUCUUGAUCCCCAGUGCUUCACAAGCAGAGAGCAAAGUCUUCUAUUUGAAAAUGAAAGGAGACUACUACGGUUACUUGUCUGAGGUUGCUGCUGGUGAUCACAAGAAGGGGAUUGUGGAUCAGUCACAACAAGCAUACCAAGAAGCUUUUGGAAUCAGCAAAAAGGAAAUGCAACGAGCACAUCCUAUCAGAUUGGGGCUGGCCCUUAACUACUCUGUGUUUUAUUAUGAGAUUCUGAACUCCCCCAGAGAAAGCCUGCUGUCUUGCAAAGACAGCUGCCAAUGAAGCUAUUGCUGAACUUGAUACAUUAAGUCAUACAAAGAUAGCACGCUAAUAAUGCAAUUACUGAUAGACAACUCGACAUUGUGGACAUC